AUUGAACGCUGGCGGCAGGCUUAACACAUGCAAGUCGAGCGGAGCGGCGGACGGGGGAGUAAUGCCUAGGAAUCUGCCUGGUAGUGAGGGAUAACGUCCGGAAACGGGCGCUAAUACCACAUACUAUCAGAUCAGCCUAGGCCGGAUUAGCUAGAUGGUGGGGUAAAGGCCUACCAAGGCGACGAUCCGUAACUGGUCUGAGAGGAUGAUCAGUCACACUGGAACUGAGACACGGUCCAGACUCCUACGGGAGGCAGCAGUGGGGAAUAUUGGACAAUGGGCGAAAGCCUGAUCCAGCCAUGCCGCGUGUGUGAAGAAGGUCUUCGGAUUGUAAAGCACUUUAAGUGGGGAGGCGGUACCAACAGAAUAAGCACCGGCUAACUUCGUGCCAGCAGCCGCGGUAAUAC
rnacentral:rRNA from 1 species